GACGAACGCUGGCGGCGUGCUUAACACAUGCAAGUCGAACGGAAAGGCCCUGCUUUUGUGGGGUGCUCGAGUGGCGAACGGGUGAGUAACACGUGAGUAACCUGCCCUUGACUUUGGGAUAACUUCAGGAAACUGGGGCUAAUACCGGAUAGGAGCUCCUGCUGCAUGGUGGGGGUUGGAAAGUUUCGGCGGUUGGGGAUGGACUCGCGGCUUAUCAGCUUGUUGGUGGGGUAGUGGCUUACCAAGGCUUUGACGGGUAGCCGGCCUGAGAGGGUGACCGGCCACAUGGGGACUGCGAGACGGCCCAGACUCCUACGGGAGGCAGAAGUGGGGAAUAUUGCACAAUGGGCGGAAGCCUGAUGCAGCAACGCCGCGUGCGGGAUGACGGCUUUCGGGUGGUAAACCGCUUUCGCCUGUGACGAAGCGUGAGUGACGGUAAUGGGUAAAGAAGCACCGGCUAACUACGUG
rnacentral:rRNA from 1 species